GACGAACGCUGGCGGCGUGCUUAACACAUGCAAGUCGAACGGAAAGGCCCUGCUUUUGUGGGGUGCUCGAGUGGCGAACGGGUGAGUAACACGUGAGUAACCUGCCCUUGACUUUGGGAUAACUUCAGGAAACUGGGGCUAAUACCGGAUAGGAGCUCCUGCUGCAUGGUGGGGGUUGGAAAGUUUCGGCGGUUGGGGAUGGACUCGCGGCUUAUCAGCUUGUUGGUGGGGUAGUGGCUUACCAAGGCUUUGACGGGUAGCCGGCCUGAGAGGGUGACCGGCCACAUUGGGACUGAGAUAGGGCCCAGACUCCAACGGGAGGCAGCAGUGGGGAAUAGUGCACAAUGGGCGGAAGCCUGAUGCAGCAACGCCGCGUGCGGGAUGACGGCCUUCGGGUUGUAAACCGCUUUCGCCUGUGACGAAGCGUGAGUGACGGUAAUGGGUAAAGAAGCACCGGCUAACUACGUG
rnacentral:rRNA from 1 species